GCUCAGAUUGAACGCUGGCGGCAGGCCUAACACAUGCAAGUCGAGCGGAUGAAGGGAGCUUGCUCCUGGAUUCAGCGGCGGACGGGUGAGUAAUGCCUAGGAAUCUGCCUGGUAGUGGGGGAUAACGUCCGGAAACGGGCGCUAAUACCGCAUACGUCCUGAGGGAGAAAGUGGGGGAUCUUCGGACCUCACGCUAUCAGAUGAGCCUAGGUCGGAUUAGCUAGUUGGUGGGGUAAAGGCCUACCAAGGCGACGAUCCGUAACUGGUCUGAGAGGAUGAUCAGUCACACUGGAACUGAGACACGGUCCAGACUCCUACGGGAGGCAGCAGUGGGGAAUAUUGGACAAUGGGCGAAAGCCUGAUCCAGCCAUGCCGCGUGUGUGAAGAAGGUCUUCGGAUUGUAAAGCACUUUAAGUUGGGAGGAAGGGCAGUAAGUUAAUACCUUGCUGUUUUGACGUUACCAACAGAAUAAGCACCGGCUAACUUCGUGCCAGCAGCCGCGGUAAUACGAAGGGUGCAAGCGUUAAUCGGAAUUACUGGGCGUAAAGCGCGCGUAGGUGGUUCAGCAAGUUGGAUGUGAAAUCCCCGGGCUCAACCUGGGAACUGCAUCCAAAACUACUGAGCUAGAGUACGGUAGAGGGUGGUGGAAUUUCCUGUGUAGCGGUGAAAUGCGUAGAUAUAGGAAGGAACACCAGUGGCGAAGGCGACCACCUGGACUGAUACUGACACUGAGGUGCGAAAGCGUGGGGAGCAAACAGGAUUAGAUACCCUGGUAGUCCACGCCGUAAACGAUGUCGACUAGCCGUUGGGAUCCUUGAGAUCUUAGUGGCGCAGCUAACGCGAU
rnacentral:rRNA from 1 species